rnacentral:rRNA from 1 species
GAUGAACGCUGGCGGCGUGCCUAAUACAUGCAAGUCGAGCGAACAGACGAGGAGCUUGCUCCUCUGACGUUAGCGGCGGACGGGUGAGUAACACGUGGAUAACCUACCUAUAAGACUGGGAUAACUUCGGGAAACCGGAGCUAAUACCGGAUAACAUGUUGAACCGCAUGGUUCAACAGUGAAAGACGGUCUUGCUGUCACUUAUAGAUGGAUCCGCGCCGCAUUAGCUAGUUGGUAAGGUAACGGCUUACCAAGGCAACGAUGCGUAGCCGACCUGAGAGGGUGAUCGGCCACACUGGAACUGAGACACGGUCCAGACUCCUACGGGAGGCAGCAGUAGGGAAUCUUCCGCAAUGGGCGAAAGCCUGACGGAGCAACGCCGCGUGAGUGAAGAAGGUCUUCGGAUCGUAAAACUCUGUUAUUAGGGAAGAACAUAUGUGUAAGUAACUGUGCACAUCUUGACGGUACCUAAUCAGAAAGCCACGGCUAACUACGUG